rnacentral:rRNA from 1 species
UACAGAGGAGCCAAGCGUUGUCCGGAUUGACUGGGCGUAAAGCGCACGCAGGCGGCACCGCGCGUGGGGUGUGAAAUCUGGCCGCUUAACGGCCAGGCGCCAUCCCAUACGGCGGAGCUGGAGUGAUGCAGAGGUCGGUGGAAUUGCCGGUGUAGUGGUGAAAUGCGUAGAGAUGUGGAGGAAUACCGAUGGCGAAGGCAGCCCCCUGGGAUAACACUGACGCUCAUGCACGAAAGCGUGGGGAGCAAACAGG